rnacentral:rRNA from 1 species
UACGUAGGGGGCGAGCGUUGUCCGGAUUUAUUGGGCGUAAAGAGCUCGUAGGCGGCUUGUCGCGUCGACUGUGAAAUCCCGCGGCUCAACUGCGGGUCUGCAGUCGAUACGGGCAGGCUAGAGUUCGGUAGGGGAGACUGGAAUUCCUGGUGUAGCGGUGAAAUGCGCAGAUAUCAGGAGGAACACCGGAGGCGAAGGCGGGUCUCUGGGCCGAUACUGACGUUGAGGAGCGAAAGCGUGGGGAGCGAACAGG